CGGUUCUGCGCAGAGCUGCGAGCAGGAGCACGCCAUGGCCGGAUCUGCCCCCUCCAUGGACGCCCCUUGCUGUUCCCUGCGCCCGGCUCUCUCUAUCCAGCGCGUCCCAUUUUCUUCCAUGGAAAACCAACAGCGAGCCCCCUUCCUCGCUGUUCGUCGUGGUGCCCGCCGGCUGUUCGGCAAAAUGCGCAGGAAGCCGCGCGCUGCAGCAGCCCUCCCGUUCGAUCUCCACUCCCCUCGUCGCGUGUCGUCGCUCUCGUGCUCGCUGCGCAGCCCCAUCCGCAACGCCGUCGAAAACCGUGC
rnacentral:misc_RNA from 1 species